rnacentral:rRNA from 1 species
AUUGAACGCUGGCGGCAUGCCUUACACAUGCAAGUCGAACGGUAACAGGUCUUCGGAUGCUGACGAGUGGCGAACGGGUGAGUAAUACAUCGGAACGUGCCUAGUAGUGGGGGAUAACUACUCGAAAGAGUGGCUAAUACCGCAUGAGAUCUACGGAUGAAAGCAGGGGAUCGCAAGACCUUGUGCUACUAGAGCGGCCGAUGGCAGAUUAGGUAGUUGGUGGGAUAAAAGCUUACCAAGCCGACGAUCUGUAGCUGGUCUGAGAGGACGAUCAGCCACACUGGGACUGAGACACGGCCCAGACUCCUACGGGGGGCAGCAGUGGGGAAUUUUGGACAAUGGGCGAAAGCCUGAUCCAGCAAUGCCGCGUGCAGGAUGAUGGCCUUCGGGUUGUAAACUGCUUUUGUACGGAACGAAAAGCCCCGGGUUAAUACCCUGGGGUCAUGACGGUACCGUAAGAAUAGCACCGGCUAACUACGUGCCAGCCGCCGCAGUAA